rnacentral:rRNA from 1 species
CAAUAGCGUAUAUUUAAGUUGCUGCAGUUAAAAAGCUCGUAGUUGGAUUUCUGGUGGGAGCGAUCGGUCUGGCGCUUAGCGCGAGUACUUGCAUCGUCUCCGGCCAUCCUUGGGGAGAGUCUGUCUGGCAUUAAGUUGUCGGGCAGAGGAUCCUCAUCGUUUACUGUGAAAAAAUUAGAGUGUUCAAAGCAGGCUUAUGCCGUUGAAUAUAUUAGCAUGGAAUAAUAAGAUAGGACUUUGGUACUAUUUUGUUGGUUUGCGCACCAAAGUAAUGAUUAAUAGGGACAGUUGGGGGUAUUCGUAUUCCGUUGUCAGAGGUGAAAUUCUUGGAUUUACGGAAGACGAACUACUGCGAAAGCAUUUACCAAGGAUGUUUUCAUUAA